GGGGACGCGCGGGUUCGACAGGGGAUGUCUUCGCAGGAUUGCAGGCCGAGGCGCCAUCACACCUCGUAAAAAGAUGGCAAAACAAUAACUGGCAAGCAAGAGCUAGCCCUAGCCGCCUAACGGCGGCUACGUCCACCGCUCACUCUCCUCGAAGAGAGCGACUGGGCGCCAUUAAUCGAGGUGCGGUCUAACCGACGCCGAUGGGGGACGACCAAAGACUUAUCGGCUGGCUCCUGUGCAAUCCUUCGCUGGUAAAGGUGCAAACGGGAGCGAGACUCUAAGUACCAGCUAAGCCUGUAGCAUAUCCUGACCGGGGUGUCUUCUGGACGGGGAGUUCGACCCUCCCCCGUCUCCACCA
rnacentral:tmRNA from 1 species